rnacentral:rRNA from 1 species
GUGGGGAAUCUUGCGCAAUGGGCGAAAGCCUGACGCAGCCAUGCCGCGUGAAUGAUGAAGGUCUUAGGAUUGUAAAAUUCUUUCACCGGGGACGAUAAUGACGGUACCCGGAGAAGAAGCUCCGGCUAACUUCGUGCCAGCAGCCGCGGUAAUACGAAGGGGGCUAGCGUUGCUCGGAAUUACUGGGCGUAAAGGGCGCGUAGGCGGACAGUUUAGUCAGAGGUGAAAGUCCAGGGCUCAACCUUGGAAUUGCCUUUGAUACUGGCUGUCUUGAGUACGGGAGAGGUGAGUGGAACUCCGAGUGUAGAGGUGAAAUUCGUAGAUAUUCGGAAGAACACCAGUGGCGAAGGCGACUCACUGGCCCGUUACUGACGCUGAGGCGCGAAAGCGUGGGGAGCAAACAGGAUUAGAAACCCUGGUAGUCC